rnacentral:tRNA from 1 species
UAAAAAUUAGUUAAUUUAUAACGUAAGCUUGUCAAGCUUAAAUUAUUAGGCAUCUAAUAUUUUUAU